AUCAAGGCAAUUUAGCUUGUGUUCAUGGCUACACAACUUAAGACUAGUAAUCUUAUCAAAUGCAAGCUAAGUAUGUGAAGAAGAGCAUAAUUUGACUGAGUCGAAAGUCCAAGUUAGGGAAAGCAGCUUGGCGAGAGACCAACGCCCCACUGCCAAUUAACGACAAGGAUCGCUGGCAUUCAUUCCAGAUCUUGAAUAAAG
rnacentral:lncRNA from 1 species